GCCUGGUUUGCUCAGUAGGUAGGUAGAGCAUGUGACUCUUGAUCUUGGGGUCAUGAGUUUGAACCCCACAUUGGGCA
rnacentral:tRNA from 1 species